UAAAGGUCAAAAAACAAUUUUGGUUAAA
rnacentral:sRNA from 1 species